UCGGCGCCCCCCUCCAAAUCACGGCCAUACAGACCACGUGCCACCGCCACCUUCGUCGCGUCUCACCACCGAGCCGUCGUGCGCGCCGCCAAAUGGGUCGACCGUGGCCUCGUUUCCAGACGCCAGUGCAAGCUCUACGGGGCAGGUGGGAUCCCGAUCUCUCUCACGUCGCUCAUCUUGUAGAACUCUCUCUCUCUCUCUCUCUCGGAGAACCCUCUCCUCGCAGAUACGUGGGUUGCUUGGUUGUAGCAAGCCGGUGCGCUCAUCCUCGCGGAACGCGACGCCGCCCGCCUCCCUCUCGCGAUCCACUCCGGCGUCGGCGGCUGCUCCUGAUGAGCAAGGAGCGUCAAGAAGCUCCAGAACCAGAUCCUUGAGCUGCAGCGCCAGAUCGCUGACUGGCCUGGAAGAAGCAGGGCAGCGCAUCGUGUUCUGAAUCCUUCGCUGCCACUGAAAAACAUGCAGUACCAGGAUCCUAGUUGUGAACGGCUGAGCGUGCCAGAAACAAGUGAAAGGAGCCUUCAGUUGUCAAGCCAUGGUGGAGAGAUCGCUAGUGGAGGCGCUGGCCAUGGUAGCGUAGGGAGGCACCACAGGACGUUGUCUAGACAUGCUCAAGAACGCUGGGCUGCCUAUUGCCAAGGUGUUCACUGUCUUCUUCAUGGGGUUCCUUAUGGCCGUCAAGUACAAAUCAACAUCCUCUGUCAAUAGCCUCCAAGUUAGGACGUGCUCACUGUCUGAAUGUUGACUCUGUAUGUCAGAAUGUAAGCAAAAAUUUUGGCCGUGUAUCUGUAGAGAAUAGAGAAAAUAAGACCCAUUUUUAUUCAUCAUGUCAGAUGGGUUUCAAUGUUACACAAACGGG